rnacentral:rRNA from 1 species
GACGAACGCUGGCGGCGUGCUUAACACAUGCAAGUCGAACGGAAAGGCCCUGCUUGCAGGGUACUCGAGUGGCGAACGGGUGAGUAACACGUGGGUGAUCUGCCCUGCACUUCGGGAUAAGCCUGGUAAACUGGGUCUAAUACCGGAUAGGAGCCAUUUUUAGUGUGAUGGUUGGAAAGUUUUUUCGGUGUAGGAUGAGCUCGCGGCCUAUCAGCUUGUUGGUGGGGUAAUGGCCUACCAAGGCGGCGACGGGUAGCCGGCCUGAGAGGGUGGACGGCCACAGUGGGACUGAGAGACGGCCCAGACUCCUACGGGAGGCAGCAGUGGGGAAUAUUGCACAAUGGGCGCAAGCCUGAUGCAGCGACGCCGCGUGGGGGAUGACGGCCUUCGGGUUGUAAACUCCUUUCGCUAGGGACGAAGCUUUUUGUGACGGUACCUAGAUAAGAAGCACCGGCUAACUACGUG